rnacentral:rRNA from 1 species
UACGUAGGAGGCAAGCGUUGUCCGGAAUCACUGGGCGUAAAGCGCGUGUAGGCGGAUCGCUAAGUCUGUGGUGAAAGCGCCUGGCUUAACCGGGCGAGGUCCAUGGAAACUAGCGGUCUGGAGGCCGGGUAGAGGGGGGGUGGAAUUCCGGGGUGUAGUGGGUGAAAUGCGUAGAGAUCCGGAGGAACACCAGUGGCGACGGCGGCCCCCCUGGGCCGCGCCUGACGCUGAGACGCGAAAAGCGCGGGGAGCGAACGGG